rnacentral:other from 4 species
AAUACCCUGGGACGUUAGUGAUUGCCAGGAGCGUUUUUGAGCCAAUGCUCGUAAUACGGGCGAAGGCUCCAGCGUGCUGGUGUGCAUGCCCGGUCAGCCGGGAAGCCUGAAGGCGCGCGAGCCAUGCCCACCUGGAAUAGCCAGGUUCAAAACCAACUGGCGACACGGCCUCCCGGGGCUUUC